rnacentral:snRNA from 1 species
GGAUAUGAGGGUGAUCUGGCUGUGACAUCUGUCACCCCAUUGAUUGCCAGGGUUGAUUCAGCUGAUCUGGCUGGCUAGGCGGGUGUCCCUUUCCUCCCUCAAUGCUCCAUGUGUGUCCCGCCCCCCUGGAAGAUGCAUGCUCGGUCGAAAAGGACAACCAUCCUAAUAGAGGAGGACCAUUCUUCGGUCAAGGGUAUACAAGUAGCUGCACUCCCUUGCUAAAGCCUCCAAACAAGCUCUCAAGGUCCAUUAGAGGGCAGGAUGGGCCAGAUCAGGAGAG